ACUCGGUCUCUCUGGCUAUUUUGUGUGUUCCGAUCUGACAGCCCACAUGCCUCUGCUGUACGCCUCGGCCACAGGACACAGAGCACUAAGAAGACAGAGGACAUUCACGGUCUGGUGAGACAAGUUUGAGAUCUCAUAUUUUCAGCUCACCCUUGAAAACCUUUCUUGGAUUUGACUGACCUUGAUGGCUCCCUGGAAUUUCACCUACAUUUUAUGGGAACUUCAACUCUCCAGAGAGAAGAGCUUUCAGAUAGCUACAGGACUUGCAACUAUGACUUUUAGCUUUCACUUUUGAAUGAGGCUCCAAAUGUCUCAAUGGUGGCGCUAUUUCCAGAUUUGGGAGCCCUGCAAAGCUAAUCUGCUCAACCUUCACCUACUGGGUUCAAUGAAUAUGAAAAGCUGCCUUCCUGAAACUCUUCCUUCAAAGAGGAAAUGAUCUCCUGGAAUUCAAGCUUCUACAAGGUGGCUACCUGGUGUUUUCCACUUUUGCCUUCUCCUAAAAAGCAUCAAUCAAGCCUUGCCCUUUCAACCCACUGAACACAUAAACAUGCUUUCUCCUUAACUGAACUUAUGGUCAUGAUGAACUUGAACUCUGAGAUGCACAGAGGAGAGUUUGUUUUAACAGCUGCUUUUACAAUGAAGCCCUGGAGUUACUACUCUCAAGACCCCUGGUUCUGAUAGGCCGUCUUUUCACUGUCCUCUGCAUUUUCUAAUGCCCAGCUGUCAAGGAACACCCACUGAAGUUUUCCAAAAUAAAGGCACAAAACACAAGAAAGGCAAGAGAAUGCUAAUCACUGGAUGCAUGGGCAUCCUAUGUGGGGACCCCUUACAUGUGGAAUAGGGUUUUUCUCCCCAAUUUAUUUUUAUAAAUUUAUUGAUUUCUUUGCUAGUUUAUUAUUAAUUGUUAGAGAUGUCCUGUUGCCUGAGGUUGCCCUGUCCAAUACGGUAGCCACCAGCGACAGGUAGCUAUUUAGAGUAAUUAAAAAAUUACAUUAAAAACGCAGUUUCCUUGUCACUUAACCAUGUUUCAAGUGCUCAGUAUUAACCACAUGUGACUAGUGGCAUCCAUAAAGGAAGGCAAAAAUACAGAACAUUUACAUCGCUGCAGAAAGCUACUAGAUUCUUUUGGCCAAGGCAUAAGCUCUUCCUCAUAAGAGAAAGGGGAUGCAGAUCUUGCUAAGAGUGAUGGAUUUCUGGGUUCAGCCUACAUGAGUCAUCUUCCAUACUACCCCCGGACAUGCUUUCCUUGGCUGCCAAUUUUCUAUUUUAUAAAUUUCAGGAAAGAGAGGUUAUGGUUGUUAAAACCAUUCAUGACAAUGAUCCCACUUUAGAUAAAACAACAGCAACAAGCAAAGAAGAUGGUGUGGAGAUCUGCACAUUCCACAUCUUUUAACUGGUACCCAUUAAAUAACAAAGGGAAAAAGUACCCUCAGACCACAACUCUCCACCUUGUAUGGAGGCCAAGGACCCAGCAGGGAGAAGGCAGAUUAGGUUCUCCACUCAUCCUGGCUCUUAGACCACUGAACUCACAUUUGGGUUCUAAUGGAAUGGUGAUUGGAAGCAUAUUCUCCGAUAGGAGGUUUUUAAAUGUUCUGUGCCAUCAGCCAGGCAGCAUCUGUCACUUAAAAUGACUGGCCAGUUGCACAUUUAAAAGCAAAGAUAAAAUUGCUAAUUUAUACUUACUGAAUAAACAUCAGCAGUAUCCAUUAAGGUACCUACCCUAAUAGCAAGUUGUAUUUUUAUUUUUAUGGUGGUGGUGAAGCUGCCAGGAAAACCAAAGUAUCAGUUCUUUAAUUACAUGUGUUUAGUAUUCAUUUAAUACUAAAAUUUCUCUUGCUCAAUUAGAACAAAGAGCUCUAACUUAUUCACUGCUGUAUCCUUAGCACCUGGAACAGUCCCUGGCCUACAGCAGGCACUUAGAAAGUAUUUGUUAAAAAUUGAUUUUUUUUUUUUAAAGAAACAACCCAGAGUUUUUUUAUUCUGCCCCAACCCCCAAUCCUUGGCAUUAAAAUAAAUCUUCCUCAACUGCCAUCACUAAUCGCCAGGAUUCCCUCCUAGCCAAUUAUGCUUGGACUCAACCUCUACCUCCCACUCCACAUUCCAAAGUUUCUAUUUCUUUCCAUUCCAGAAGGGCAACUCCACAACAGGAGUGAGGGAGAGGACCUGUACUCCUCCUCAGAGUCCAAUAACACUAUGUGGACUUUUUAAAUCCAUGAAAAUAGAACCUGUCAAGCUACCACAAAAUAGCAUCAGAAGGCAGGAUCAGUCUUUCAUAGGCAUACAAUCUCUGUAAAUACUGAAAAAAGAUUAUUAAAAGCCUGCUAAGUUUUGUCUCCAGUGAAAUAGAUGCAGGCAAGUAUUUUGGUUGUUCUGAACACAUUAGAGAUGAAUGCUACACAGAACUAAGGUAAACUUUGUAAAUUCAUAUGUCAUAACACUUUGCUCCACAAAAAACUAUCUUAUUUUUUAUACUCCAUACUGAUACAGCCAACUAAUGUGGCUCUUGUUUUUUAAAGAUGCUAGCAAUAUGUUUAAACAUGCCUUCAUUGCAGUAAAAGUAUCAUAUUUAUAAAAAAUACAUAUGCAUUUAAUGUGAUAUUCCUUAUAGUCAAAAUCUUGAUAGCAUCCUCCUAAUCUGGCUAAAAAUGUAUCCGUAAAAUGAAAGAGAGGAAUAUUUUGCCAUUCCCUAAACAACAGUUGUUGGAAGCUUUUGUAAUUGCUGGUUAUGGGAAUUUACCAAUAACAGGAAUGAAUUUGGAUUUUCUUUUGCUGGAACCAAAUGGACAAUGUCAUAAUUAGCUAAAUAAUGUUGAGGCUAAAUGAAGUUUGAGUUUUAGGCACAUCCUUUAUGGAAUAUAGACAGGAACCUAAAAGUUCAUUCUGAACAUAGGUUGUUUCUUUCUGCCAAGACAAGAUUAAUAGUCAGUACCCUAACAAUGAGGUCCUAUCACUGAAGUAGAUUAUCUGCUAGUCAAAUGGUUCCUAACAGCACCUCCCUCAUGGGUUAAAACAAGAGGGUUAAUGUAAUGUGUAUUUGCUUAAUUUGGCUUGUUACACAGUAAACACACAGCAAAUGUUAGCUAUUGUUAUCUUCAUUUUCUUUGGAGAAGUUAUCUUAUUUCUCACCUUAUUAAAAAUAAACUCUAACUCAUAUAGGGACCCUCCUUACCUUGGUCCUUUCACCCAUGAGUACCAUAAUAACCUAUACUGCAAAAAGGAGGCUCAGGAGGAGGAUGAGGUAUCAUCAAUAGGCCUCUGGGUCAUUUUUAUGAUUUAGGUUUUUUUUGAAAAGGGUAGGCUCUCUUGAAACUUCCAAGGUAGUUGUUUUAGUAUUUUAUUUUCCUUCAAUAAGAAAUGCUUUCUGAAAUGUAUUGCAGUGAACAAAUAACAAAAUUGACAAAUGCUGUAAGCCUUUUACAGUUAUCUGAACACACAGAAUAAAGUGUAAUCAAAUUUAUGCACAUUAGGUUUGCUUUUUCCUGUACCUAGCUGUCUCUUAUGUGUUCAGAACCAUUUCUUCCAAUCACCUUUGUCUUCUGGCUAUAAUUUAUCAUUAUCUACAAAUUCAAUAAAUGGAGCAUGCA
rnacentral:antisense_RNA from 1 species